rnacentral:rRNA from 1 species
UGGAGAACUGAGGGGGGCUGCUCCUAGUACGAGAGGACCGGAGUGGACGCAUCACUGGUGUUCGGGUUGUCAUGCCAAUGGCACUGCCCGGUAGCUAAAUGCGGAAGAGAUAAGUGCUGAAAGCAUCUAAGCACGAAACUUGCCCCGAGAUGAGUUCUCCCUGACCCUUUAAGGGUCCUGAAGGAACGUUGAAGACGACGACGUUGAUAGGCCGGGUGUGUAAGCGCAGAGAUGCGUUGAGCUAACCGGUACUAAUGAACCGUGAGGCUUAACCUUACAACGCCGAAG